rnacentral:sRNA from 1 species
AGCUUGGCCGCGCAGUGCCGGGACCCGGCUGCAGCGGUGGGAAGGCGGGGGCGUGCCGGCCCAGCGGGGAGAGGCAUCUGCAGGGGCUGCUGAGAGUAAAUACUUGGCGCCUCCAGCUGCUGGCCAAGGAGACAGAUGGAGCUCAAGUUGGGAGAUGCGCCCUGAGAGCCGAUGAUAGACACAAGUCCAGAUCUCGGAUUUUGAUACUGUAUGUUCCCUGGGUUCCUGAGAGAGGACAUUGAGGAGUAGGAGUCGGCGAUUAAGGAGAUCGGUACAAUUGGGAAGCCUCCUGUCAGAGCUUCCAGCAAUUUCCUCAUCAGAGGUGGACAAGCCCUAUGGGCUAAGACAGAGGGUCCUCAGAAAGGAGUGCGGACGCCGUCAUGCUGCAGCAGCUCCUGAUCACCCUGCCCACCGAGGCCAGCACCUGGGUGAAGUUGCGUCAUCCAAAGGCGGCCACGGAGCGGGUGGCCCUGUGGGAGGAUGUGACUAAGAUGUUUAAAGCAGAAGCUCUGCUGUCUCAGGAUGCUGAUGAGACCCAGGGAGAAAGUUUAGAGAGUAGAGUGACCCUUGGAUCCCUGACAGCAGAAUCCCAGGAACUGUUAACCUUCAAGGACGUAUCUGUGGACUUCACUCAGGAGGAGUGGGGGCAGCUGGCCCCUGCUCACCGGAAUCUGUACCGGGAGGUGAUGCUGGAGAACUAUGGGAACCUGGUCUCAGUGGGUAAGGAUGGGCUCCUCUUGAAAAUAGAACGUACCUAUUGGAUGAAAACCUUUGUUUCUAAAUUAAGUGCUUUGUUUGGGCUUUGGGUUCUGUAUUAGAGGUUUUGUGUUUCCUUCUGAACACCCAGUCAGGAUUGCUAUGCUCUUUUCUGCUCUGUUCUUUCUACUCUACUCUGCUUUCUUUAGAAGGCCCGAAUACCAAAGAACCAUAUUUAAAUUCUUGGGAUGGCUCUGUGACCUCAGCAUAUACAGUCUUUUCUUCCCCAUAAGCAGGAUGUCAGCUUUCCAAACCUGGCGUGAUUUCCCAGUUGGAGAAAGGAGAAGAACCAUGGCUGAUGGAGAGAGAUAUUUCAGGAGUUCCAAGUUCAGACUUAAAGAGCAAAACAAAAACCAAAGAGUCAGCCUUACAGAAUGAUAUUUCGUGGGAAGAAUUACAUUGUGGCCUAAUGAUGGAAAGAUUUACAAAAGGAAGCACCAUGUAUUCCACCUUGGGAAGAAUCUCCAAAUGUAAUAAGCUAGAAAGCCAACAAGAGAACCAAAGAAUGGGUGAGAGGCAAAUCCCCUUGAUGUGCAAGAAAACAUUCACUCAGGAGAGAGGCCAAGAGUCUAAUAGAUUUGAGAAAAGAAUUAAUGUGAAGUCAGAAGUUAUGCCAGGACCAAUAGUUCUUCCAAGAAAAAGAGAUCGUAAAUAUGACACACUUGAAAAGAGAAGCAGAUACAACAUAGAUUUAGUUAAUCAUUCAAGGAGUUAUACAAAAAUGAAAACCUUUGAAUGUAAUAUUUGUGAAAAAAUCUUCAAACAGCUUAUUCACCUUACUGAACACAUGAGAAUUCAUACCGGCGAGAAACCUUUCAGAUGUAAGGAAUGUGGAAAAGCCUUUAGCCAAAGUUCAUCUCUUAUUCCACAUCAGAGAAUUCAUACUGGUGAGAAACCCUAUGAAUGUAAGGAGUGUGGGAAAACCUUCAGACAUCCUUCAUCGCUUACUCAACAUGUUAGAAUUCAUACCGGGGAGAAGCCCUAUGAAUGUAGGGUAUGUGAGAAAGCCUUCAGCCAGAGCAUUGGACUGAUCCAGCAUUUGAGAACUCAUGUUAGAGAGAAACCUUUUACAUGCAAAGACUGUGGAAAAGCGUUUUUCCAGAUUAGACACCUUAGGCAACAUGAGAUUAUUCAUACUGGUGUGAAACCCUAUAUUUGUAAUGUAUGUAGUAAAACCUUCAGCCAUAGUACAUACCUAACUCAACACCAGAGAACUCAUACUGGAGAAAGACCGUAUAAAUGUAAGGAAUGUGGGAAAGCCUUUAGCCAGAGAAUACAUCUUUCUAUCCAUCAGAGAGUCCAUACUGGAGUAAAACCUUAUGAAUGCAGUCAUUGUGGGAAAGCCUUUAGGCAUGAUUCAUCCUUUGCUAAACAUCAGAGAAUUCAUACUGGAGAAAAACCUUAUGACUGUAAUGAGUGUGGAAAAGCCUUCAGCUGUAGUUCAUCCCUUAUUAGACACUGCAAAACACAUUUAAGAAAUACCUUCAGCAAUGUUGUGUGAAAUAUACUAAACAUCAAAGAAUCUAUGUUGGAGCAAAAGAUUCUAAAUCAGUGGUUCCCUGAUCCCUCAAAAAUCCAUUUGUUUUUGGAUUUCCAAAAACAAACAUUAAAAAAAAAUGGUUUGGC